rnacentral:tRNA from 1 species
GCGGGUAUAGCUCAAUGGUAGAGUCACAGCCUUCCAAGCUGAGGACAGGGGUUCGAUUCCCCUUACCCGCUCCA